AACAAAUGUUAUAAAACAUGACAUUAUAACAGAACCAGGUAAAAGGAUCUACCUCAAACCUUAUAGAAUACCUGAAGCUCGCAGGGAGGCAGUUAGGGCAGAAGUUAAAAAAAUGCUACACCUUGGGGUAAUUGAAGAGUCAUGCAGUGAUUGGAGUAGCCCUAUUGUACUUGUACCAAAACCGGAUGGUACAAUAAGAUUUUGUAAUGAUUACCGUAAAUUGAAUGCCAUCUCAAAAUUUGAUUCAUAUCCCAUGCCCAGAGUUGAUGAGCUAGUAGAAAGACUGGGGAAAGCCCGUUACCUCACUACACUUGAUUUAACCAAGGGAUACUGGCAGGUUCCACUAACAGAGCGAGCGAAAGAAAAAACUGCUUUUUCUACCCCCGACGGUGUUUUUCAAUAUAAGGUUUUACCUUUUGGGUUACAUGGGGCCCCUGCCACCUUUCAAAGGAUGAUGGACAGGAUAUUGAAACCACAUAUGCGUUAUGCAGCUGCAUAUUUGGAUGACGUAGUCAUACAUAGUGAAGACUGGGAAUCUCACCUUCCAAAAGUGCAAGCCGUGUUAAAUUCAAUUCGAGAUGCUGGGUUAACGGCUAACCCAAGUAAAUGUACAAUUGGCCUAGAGGAAGCCAAAUACUUGGGGUAUUCUAUUGGAAGGGGUUUAGUGAAACCUCAGCAGGCAAAAAUAGAAGCCAUACGCAAUUGGCCACAACCAGCCACUAAGAAACAGGGGAAUGCUGAUGGGCUCUCAAGAAUGCACUCGCUGAUGUCUAUGGUCGCUCACCCCAUCAGGUCUGAGCUGGGGGGGAGGAUGUGUGACAGAAAGCAAGGAAUGAUAAUGGAGGGAGUGUAUAUUUCACCUUAUAUUUUGCAGGGUGGUUACCCUCAAUAGUUUACUAGCCCCAGGGAGAUGUAUUGUUAAUAAUGUAAUUAUUAAUGUCUGUUGUUAUUUGUGUGUUUUUGGGUCCCUGGGGUGGAGCAUUUGGAGAGUAGGGCGGGCCAGUGCUCCACUCCACAGUUUAUGAGCAGCCGAAGACCAGCAGGUGGGAAUCCAGUCCGGAGAUUAUCGGAUACUCUCCUAGCACUCACCUGCAUCCACUAAUUAAUGGGAGAGGCAGUUAAGUAGCCUUCUGGUCUCAGUGCAAAAGAGAGAUCAUUUGGCUCCCAGAGAGAGAGAGGGAGAGAGCUGCCAACAUACUGAAUGCUGCCAAUAUAAUUUGCAAUUGUGUUAUUUUGUUUUGUUGGAACGGAUAAGCCGUCCAACUGCAGUUAGGUUGGAUUACCCUGUAUUAGUUAGUGCUCACAAGAGCGAGGCUUUUUGUUUUGGUUUAUUUAUUUUCUGUAAUGCCUGUGGCGACGAAAUAAAACAGGCCCAGCCUUUUAUUUUA